rnacentral:misc_RNA from 1 species
GAUGAAGAACGUAGCGAAAUGCGAUAAGUAAUGUGAAUUGCAGAAUUCAGUGAAUCAUCGAAUCUUUGAACGCACAUUGCGCCCGCCAGUAUUCUGGCGGGCAUGCCUGUCCGAGCGUCAUUUCAACCAUCAAGCCCCGGGCUUGUGUUGGGGACCUGCGUCCGACGCAGGCCCUGAAAACCAGUGGCGGGCUCGCUGUCCACACCGAGCGUAGUAUCUAACCUCGCUAUGGAGUGGCGCGGGCGCCUGCCGUAAAACCCCCAAUUUCACAAGGUUGACCUCGGAUCAGGUAGGAAUACCCGCUGAACUUAAGCAUAUCAAUAAGCGGAGGA